AGUAUGUAUAUGGUGUAUAAAAUAAAUAAUAUAAUUAAUCUAAGGGUACUGCAGGUUCUUUUAAAAGGGAGGGUGUAUGAAUAUUUUUCCUAUUUGCAAAAUUUUAUUUUUGGUCCCUAAGAAGAGACCUGCAUUUUUCCUCCCUCACCCUCUCGUGCUCACGACGCCACCACCCUCUGCCUCCCCGUUUCCACCAUUCUAGCCGCCUGCACCACCAGCUAGCCACCAGAUCAGCCCCUUCUCUUCAUUUUCUCGCCAGCAUCACCAUACCCUCCUUUUUCUUGUCGGAAAGCAGCUACAACAAGGAGGAAGAGCUACCCACUUCGCUGCUACCUUCGGAUCGCCACCUAUUGCUCCACCUGAUGCCGGAAAUAGCAUCCUCACCCUCCAAAGCCUUCAGACCAAGCUUCCUUUCUCAUUUUCCGCUGGUGUCUAGCUCGUCCCAGCCUCACUGGAGCCGAAGUUUUCCGGCCUUGAUCCGCUGGCUUCCUGUGAGUUUCAAGCAGAAAAUUUUGCAUAUUUGAUUUCCACGAGUCCCAAGCUUCAUGUAGAUAAUUCUGUGGUUCUACCAGCUCCGCCAGAGGCGUAGGAACAACUUGUGAAAGUUGACAUAACUAUGAGUUAGUCAUAUAAUUAGCUGCACAUAUGUCAUGUCUAUAUUUGAAUGCAACGUUAUUUGAUUAAUAAUUAUUAUGAUUAUUAUUAUUAUUAAUUUUAUUUUCAUUAUUAUCACCAUUAUAUUAUUAUUAUUAUUACGAAUACUGUAUUUUAGAUUUCACAUUUUCCAUAAUUGAUGAUAUAUUAUUUUAGUAUUUAAUACUAAAUCGAGAAUAUUAUGAUUGCUCGUGUAACAUGUUAUUUUCAAUAUUAUUGAUGCUAUAUUUGUAAUGUGAUUGGAGAUGAUAUGACAGUAGAAUAUACUAUCUGAUGGGUUGUAUCAGGACGACAUGCACAUUGGUAAUAAUCAGAGACAGAUAAUAAAAGAAUAACUAUGUGACGUUGUCCUGGUCGAGCAUAGCUCUUUAGGCUUACGAGAAUUCUGAUUUGCCGAAGGAAAAGUUCUUGAUCGAGCAUUGCUCUCUGAGCAUCGUCUAUACUAGUAAUUAAGUGACCAUACUGAAUUUAAGGACUCUAGUCGAGCUUUGCUCUCUGGGCGCCAAUCUAAUUGGAAUAAGAAAGUCGAUUGGCUGAUAGAUUUGGAGUAUAAUGUUCUGCUAAUAUUCUUGUCAUGUAUAUAUUAAAUUGAGUUUUUCAAAGUAUGACAUGGUACGCAUUUUAUUUAUUCAAUAAUAAUUUAUAUUUAUUAUUUA